GAUGAACGCUGGCGGCGUGCCUAAUACAUGCAAGUCGAACGCAUUUUCUUUCACCGUAGCUUGCUACGCCGAAAGAAAAUGAGUGGCGAACGGGUGAGUAACACGUGGGUAACCUGCCCAUCAGCGGGGGAUAACACUUGGAAACAGGUGCUAAUACCGCAUAAUUCCAUUUACCGCAUGGCAGAUGGAUGAAAGGCGCUUUUGCGUCACUGAUGGAUGGACCCGCGGUGCAUUAGCUAGUUGUGGGUAACGCCUACCAAGGCUGCGAUGCAUAGCCGACCUGAGAGGGUGAUCGGGCCACACUGGGACUGGAGACACGGGCCCAGACUCCUACGGGAGCAGCAGUAGGGAAUC
rnacentral:rRNA from 1 species